GUUCGCGUCACGAGGUGAACACAUUCAUUCCGGUGCGGCCGUGAAUGGGUGACCAAGUUGAAUUGCUUUGAUCAGAGUUCAUUCGCUUUGACCAAAGGUGAAGUGCGGAUUAUAUCCAGCCAGCUAACCAUGCUUCCACCCAUUAUGCAAUAAAAGUUUCAUAGUGAUGUUUAACUGUAAAAAA